UAUGCUUGGAAAGAUUCGAACUUUCACGCUUCAUAUCCGUAGUAUGAUACUCUAUCCAAUUAAGCCACAAGCAC
rnacentral:tRNA from 1 species